rnacentral:rRNA from 1 species
UUAGAGUGUUGAUCCUGGCUCAGAACGAACGCUGGCGGCAUGCCUAACACAUGCAAGUCGAACGGGCAGGGGCAACCCUGUCAGUGGCGGACGGGUGAGUAACGCGUGGGGACCUGCCUCGAAGUUCGGAAUAACCGCGGGAAACUGCGGCUAAUACCGGAUGUGGCCUGAGGGCCAAAGGGGAAACUCGCUUCGAGAGGGGCCCGCGUCCGAUUAGCUAGUUGGCGGGGUAACGGCCCACCAAGGCGACGAUCGGUAGCUGGUCUGAGAGGAUGAUCAGCCACACUGGGACUGAGACACGGCCCAGACUCCUACGGGAGGCAGCAGUGGGGAAUAUUGGACAAUGGGGGCAACCCUGAUCCAGCAAUGCCGCGUGAGUGAUGAAGGCCUUCGGGUUGUAAAGCUCUUUUGGCGGGGACGAUGAUGACGGUACCCGCAGAAUAAGCCCCGGCUAACUUCGUGCCAGCAGCCGCGGUAAUACGAAGGGGGCUAGCGUUGUUCGGAAUUACUGGGCGUAAAGGGCGCGUAGGCGGUCCUGAUCGUCGGAUGUGAAAGGCCUGGGCUCAACCUGGGAACGGCAUCCGAUACGGCGGG